UAUGACAUCACUGCUGGACAAAGCAGCAAGGAGUGGUUUCUGUGAAGAGAAGCGCCCCAAAUCAAUGGCUCAUACCCAUACACUCUGAAAAAUCCCCCCUACAGCUUUAUCCACCGUCAAAAACAAAAGUGUGUGUGCGUCGGCAGCGGUUCUACUUGUGCUUUUUUUCAACAGGAAUGAACUACUCUGGAAAAUAACAUCGGCUGUGCUGCUGGUCAGAGAAGAGAGUCGCCGCCGCUGGAUGGUGGCUGCUUUUUAACUUUCGCCUUCCUAACAUGCACUGUGUCUGAAGAAGAAGUUGACCUGCAGUUUGAAUCCACUCUGGAAGACCAUGCUGUCCCUCCUGCUGCCCGCAAUGCUGGCCGUCCAAGCUAUGGCUUUGAUGGAAGUGCACGUCCCGGAGCAGCCAGUGGUGGCUCUCCAUGGAAGGGAUGCCACACUCAACUGCUCCUUCAGCCUUGCCACCCCCUUCAACCUGUCUGAUCUGACCAUCUUCUGGCAGCUGACAGACACCAAACGCAGUGUGCACGGGUACAGGGAGGGACACGACCAGCUGGCGGACCAGGCCGAGAGCUUCGCCAACCGGACCAGCCUGUUCCCCGCCCAGCUGGGCCUGGGCAACACUUCGCUCCUGUUGCGCAGGGUGGUGGUGGCUGACGAAGGCAGCUAUACCUGCUUCGUCAGGGUGCAGGACUACGGCAGUGCUGCUUUGCUGCUCCAGGUUGCCGCCCCCUACUCCAAGCCCAUAGUGACUUUGGAGCCCGAAUCAAAUCUGCGUCCAGGUGAUGAGGUAGCCCUGACUUGUGUGGCCUAUGGUGGUUAUCCUCAAGCUGACGUGGUAUGGCAGGAUGGGGGCGGGCGCAACCUGACGGACAAUAUCACCAAUUCAGUGGUGGCCAAUGAGGAAGGGCUGUUCACUAUGACCAGCGUGCUGACAGUUGUGCUGGAGCCCAAUAGCACCUACAGCUGCCGACUGAUCAAUCCACUACUAGGCGAGGAGAGCUACGCCUCUGUCACAAUCACAGGUCAGAACAUUGCGUUCCCCCCGGUGGCUCUGUGGGUAACUGUUGGCCUGGCCGUGUGUCUGCUGGUUUUGCUCAUUGCCUUGGCUGCUGUGUGCCGCAGGAAGAUCAAGGAGAGCUGCGAGGAAGCCAGGAGAGAAGCUGAAGAGGCCAAGGAGCUGGAAGAAGAGGAGUCAAAGACAGCCAUGACACUACUGAAAAGCUAAGGCCAAGAGAAUAAUGCAGUAAAGCUCUGGAGGACACAGUAUCUCUGGAGGCUCUGGGAGUCGGGGCCAGACGGCGGGUAGGAGAUGAGUCUGGCGGGUAAUCCCACUCCACCUAUCCAUCAACCUGGAGACUAUUUCCAGCGUCCCCUACAGAAUGUCAAAGCCUCGCUGAGCAGAAGAUGAGUCCAUCAUCUUCUUUCUAAGACUUUCCCUCGAGUUCCCAUCAAAACACAUAAACACAUCAUGUGCCAUUAUUUUCUAUUGCCCUCCCUCCCUUUCUGUCAAUGGAGGGCCGCGCGCAGUGAGCGAAUGCAGUUGAGUGGGUUGGGUUGUAUGCAGUAUGCAAAAGAGAAACUCUGUUUGAAAACUACAGGAUGUGACAGGAUCCUUUCUCUGUCGCUGACAUCACUCUGUAUGGGUUGUGAUGGGGCAUGUGCCAGAGAUCUCCUGUCUAAUAGGAAGUGAGACACUUAAAGAGAUGACCCUGCCUCAGUUGCCAUCACUGUCUCUCUGCCAGAGAGAGAGCUUGGCUCUCCCAUUACUCCUGCACUUGCUAAUUAGCGUCUAUCGCUGGAGUAACUUGUACCUGUCAGUGUGUGCCGCUCUCCUAUAUUCAGUAACUUGAGGGAAUUGAAAUUGAAUGCCAGCUAAGCUCCAACAAACUGCAAAUGGUGCAUGGGAUACACCCUGAUUUUCUCACUGACCUGACAGCCUUAUAUGUAAGAAAUUGUUUUUAAUGACCGCACACUAUCUGGGCUAGUUUCUACUGCUUGUGUGGAGCGUUACACGCUAGGGGGCUGUACAGGUUGUUUUACUGCAUAUUUUUAGGUACUUGACCAAGUCCUUGUGCCAUAUGUCCAUGUAUGAAUGCCAAAGCCAUUUGUGUCAGAUAACCCAGUGCCUAUUUACAUUAAAGAGACAUGGUGAAA